UUAUUAUGUUAUAUGAUAUGACGUUCAUUACACUGAUGUUUGUAAAGUAGACCCGAAGGUCCAACGGUUCACAGAGGUAUGUGGAUUUGUAAUAGACCCGGAGGUCAAAUCACUAAUGAUCCUUCCGCAGGUUCACCUACGGAAA
rnacentral:misc_RNA from 1 species